rnacentral:pre_miRNA from 12 species
CCUGGGUGAGGUAGUAGGUUGUAUAGUGGGGAAUGAAAAUUCGUCAUUAUGGAAUCCACUGUACAACUUGCUAACUUUCCCGG